GACGAACGCUGGCGGCGUGCUUAACACAUGCAAGUCGAACGGAAAGGCCCCCACUAUUUUUGGUGGGGGUGCUCGAGUGGCGAACGGGUGAGUAACACGUGGGUGAUCUGCCCUGUACUUCGGGAUAAGCUUGGGAAACUGGGUCUAAUACCGGAUAGGACCAUGGUUUAGUGUCUCAUGGUGGAAAGAUGUUUUUUUGGUGCAGGAUGAGCUCGCGGCCUAUCAGCUUGUUGGUGGGGUAAUGGCCUACCAAGGCGUCGACGGGUAGCCGGCCUGAGAGGGUGGACGGCCACAUUGGGACUGAGAUACGGCCCAGACUCCUACGGGAGGCAGCAGUGGGGAAUAUUGCACAAUGGGCGCAAGCCUGAUGCAGCGACGCCGCGUGGGGGAUGACGGCCUUCGGGUUGUAAACUCCUUUCGUUAGGGACGAAGCCAUACUUUUUGGGU
rnacentral:rRNA from 1 species